rnacentral:misc_RNA from 1 species
GAUGAAGAACGUAGCGAAAUGCGAUAAGUAGUGUGAAUUGCAGAAUUCAGUGAAUCAUCGAAUCUUUGAACGCACAUUGCGCCCUUUGGUAUUCCAAAGGGCAUGCCUGUUCGAGCGUCAUUUGUACCCUCAAGCUUUGCUUGGUGUUGGGCGUCUUGUCUCUAGCUUUGCUGGAGACUCGCCUUAAAGUAAUUGGCAGCCGGCCUACUGGUUUCGGAGCGCAGCACAAGUCGCACUCUCUAUCAGCAAAGGUCUAGCAUACAUUAAGCCUUUUUUUCAACUUUUGACCUCGGAUCAGGUAGGGAUACCCGCUGAACUUAAGCAUAUCAAUAAGCGGAGGA